rnacentral:rRNA from 1 species
GACGAACGCUGGCGGCGUGCUUAACACAUGCAAGUCGAACGGAAAGGCCCUGCUUUUGUGGGGUGCUCGAGUGGCGAACGGGUGAGUAACACGUGAGUAACCUGCCCUUGACUUUGGGAUAACUUCAGGAAACUGGGGCUAAUACCGGAUAGGAGCUCCUGCUGCAUGGUGGGGGUUGGAAAGUUUCGGCGGUUGGGGAUGGACUCGCGGCUUAUCAGCUUGUUGGUGGGGUAGUGGCUUACCAAGGCUUUGACGGGUAGCCGGCCUGAGAGGGUGACCGGCCACAUUGGGACUGGGAUGCGGCCCAGACUCCUACGGGAGGCAGCAGUGGGGAAUAUUGCACAAUGGGCGGAAGCCUGAUGCAGCAACGCCGCGUGCGGGAUGACGGCCUUCGGGUUGUAAACCGCUUGCGCCUGUGACGAAGCGUGAGUGACGGUAAUGGGUAAAGAAGCACCGGCUAACUACGUG